rnacentral:rRNA from 1 species
GACGUAGGUGGCGAACGUUAUCCGGACUUAUUGGGCGUAAAGGGUGCGUAGAUGGCCUGAUACGUUAGCAGUGGGAAAUCGAGGCUCAACCUCGUGGAAGCUGGUAAUACUGUCAGGCUCGAGUGCAGGAGAGGUUAACGGAACUCCAUGUGGAGCGGUAAAAUGUGUAGAUAUAUGGAAGAACACCAAUAACGGCGAAGGCAGUUAACUAUUCUGUUACUGACAUUGAGGCACGAAAGCGUGGGGAGCAAAACGG